AGAGUUUGAUCCUGGCUCAGGACAAACGCUGGCGGCGUGCGUAACACAUGCAAGUCGAACGAGCCGGGAGACCGGCGAGUGGCGGACGGGUGAGGAACACGUGGAUGACCGACCCACGACAGGGGAAUACCCGGACGAAAGUUCGGUUAAUACCGCAUACGCUGGGGACAGGAAAGCUCUUCGGAGCGGUCGUGGACGGG
rnacentral:rRNA from 1 species